rnacentral:rRNA from 1 species
AAAGUAAAAAUUGCGGGUCGUCUCAGAGGAAAAGAAAUUGCACGCACCGAAUCCAUUAAAAAGGGUUGACUUCCCCUCCAAACAAUUUGCGCUAAAAUUGAUUAUUGCUGCUAUCCAAUUCGGACUAUCUAUGGAGUAUUAGGUGUAAAAAUUUGGAUAUUCGUAGAUGAAGAAUAA